rnacentral:rRNA from 1 species
AUUUUUCUUGAGCCUACAAAUACGACUAAAAUAAUAAACAUAAUUGUUAUUUCGCUCCCGUGUGUAAAGGUGAAGGAACAAAACAAAAAGAAAAACACAAUCAAAUACAAGCUAUAUGCGUAUAUUUGAGACAACACGUACAAGCAUUCAACUUUGAGCUCCGAUCGACUCGACUGCAGAAUGCCAACUCCAAAAAUACCGCGGCCAGUCCUCCGCCGAUCCCUGCGACCGUUGCCGCCGAUCAGCGGAAAAAUGGUCGCCUUUUUUCCCCUCUUGCACGCUUAUCUUCGCCAAAUGACGAAGUCCUCUCGCACGCAGCUUUCGCCGAGCUAAAACAAAGACNAGUGUCGAGGUGGGCCGGUACGUUUACUUUGAACAAAUUAGAGUGCUCAAAGCAGGCUAUGUUCGCCUGAAUACUGUGUGCAUGGAAUAAUGGAAUAGGACCUCGGUUCUAUUUUGUUGGUUUUCGGAACCCCGAGGUAAUGAUUAAUAGGGACAGAUGGGGGCAUUCGUAUUGCGACGUUAGAGGUGAAAUUCUUGGAUCGUCGCAAGACGGACAGAAGCGAAAGCAUUUGCCAAAAAUGUUUUCAUUAAUCAAGAACGAAAGUUAGAGGUUCGAAGGCGAUCAGAUACCGCCCUAGUUCUAACCAUAAACGAUGCCAGCUAGCGAUCCGCCGAAGUUCCUCCGAUGACUCGGCGGGCAGCUUCCGGGAAACCAAAGCUUUUGGGUUCCGGGGGAAGUAUGGUUGCAAAGCUGAAACUUAAAGGAAUUGACGGAAGGGCACCACCAGGAGUGGAGCCUGCGGCUUAAUUUGACUCAACACGGGAAACCUCACCAGGCCCGGACACCGGAAGGAUUGACAGAUUGAUAGCUCUUUCUUGAUUCGGUGGGUGGUGGUGCAUGGCCGUUCUUAGUUGGUGGAGCGAUUUGUCUGGUUAAUUCCGAUAACGAACGAGACUCUAACCUGCUAAAUAGGCGUACCUUCAGGUAUCUCGACGGCCCCCGGCUUCUGUCGGGUGGUUUUUACUACCGACGUAUAAACAAAUCUUCUUAGAGGGACAGGCGGCGUCUAGCCGCACGAGAUUGAGCAAUAACAGCUCUGUUAUUUCGCUCCCGCGUGUAAAGGUGACGGAACAAAACAAAAGGAAAAACACAAUCAAAUACAAGCUAUAUGCGUAUAUUUGAGAUAACACCUACAAGCAUUCAACUUUGAGCUCCGAUCGACUCGACUGCAGAAUGCCAACUCCAAAAAUACCGCGGCCAGUUCUCCGCCG